CCUACGGGUGGCAGCAGUGAGGAAUAUUGGUCAAUGGCCGGAAGGCUGAACCAGCCAAGCCGCGUGAAGGACGAAGGUGCCAAGCAUUGUAAACUUCUUUUGUCAAGGGACAAAAUCAGGCUCGAGAGCCUGACCGCGGGUACUUGAAGAAAAAGCAUCGGCUAACUCCGUGCAAGCAGCCGCGGUAAUACGGAGGAUGCGAGGGUUAUCCGGAUUUAUUGGGUUUAAAGGGUGCGUAGGCGGACUGUUAAGUCGGCGGUAAAGGCCCGGGGCUCAACCCCGGCGAGCCGUUGAAACUGGCUGGCUGGAGAGGUCGAGAGGUAGGCGGAAUGCGCAGUGUAGCGGUGAAAUGCUUAGAUAUUGCGCAGAACUCCGAUUGCGAAGGCAGCAUACCGGCGGCGAUCUGACGCUGAGGCACGAAAGCGUGGGUAUCGAACAGGAUUAGAUACCCGAGUAGUC
rnacentral:rRNA from 1 species